rnacentral:rRNA from 1 species
GACGAACGCUGGCGGCGUGCUUAACACAUGCAAGUCGAGCGGUGAAGCUUGGUGCUUGCACCAAUUUGCAGAGACGCGAACGGGUGAGUAACGAGUGGCGCAUCUGCCUUUGAGCGGGGGCCAACAUUUGGAACCGAAUGCUAAUACCGCAUAAUCACUUUAACCAUAAGUUUUAAGUUUGAAAGAUGAAAUUGCAUCACUCAAAGAUGAUCCAGCGUUGUGUGAGCUAGGUGGUGAGGUAGAGGCUCACCAAGGCGAUGAUACAUAGCUGACCUGAGAGGGGGAACGGCCACAUGGGGACUGGGACACGGCCCAAGCUCCUGCGGGAGGCAGCAGGAGGGAGUCUUCGGCAAUGGACGAAAGGCUGACCGAGCAACGCCGCGUGAGUGAAGAAGGUUUUCGGAUCGUAAAACGCUGUUUGUAGAGAAGAACGUGGGUGAGAGUGGAAAGCUCGGCAAGUGACGGUAACGACACAGAAAGGAACGGCUAACUACGUG